AGUAGAGAAGGGGUUUCACCAUGUUGGUCAGGCUGGUCUCAAACUCCUGACCUCAGGUGAUCCACCCACC
rnacentral:miRNA from 1 species